UCAGACGUGCAGUUACAGGGCUGCCCCUGUUCCCAGCAAAGUCAGAGAUUUGCUCUCAAUAGCAAUGGCACAGGCAGGUGCUAAGUGCCAGGAGCAGUUAAUAUGUAACCUUCUUGUGGACUCUGGCUUGGCUUUUCUGUUCCAACCCACUGGGAGUGCCAGCUCAGCGAAGAAGUUUGGUAUCAAAACACCACUGAAAGUCUCCCCUCACCAGAGGAUCAGACUCUGCUCUCACAGAAUUCCCACAGAUGCUGGAGAGAGGUCCAGAGCUAACUGGCCUUCUGAGUGUGGAAAUAUCCCAGAAUGGUGCAUACUCUAACCUUCACUGUGGAACAAAAGGUUUUUAAACCUGUGAUGUUUUAUAAGACUGCCUGUGCCAUACCUGCAUCUGGCUUUGGCAGUGAGGACAGGCUGAUGUAGACAAGCUGGAGUUUGAUGUAUUAGCGUGUAAAAAGCCAUCCAGAGGAUGCACAGGAGGAUGGGCACUCGCACUGCGAUUGGCAGUGACCUGUCUACUCUGGAGGUAUAAUUGAGAUGGCUGAUUCACACAACCACACAUCAGCCGGAUCAGGGAUGAGUGUCUCCUCCAGCAGCAAGUCUACAUACGUUCCAGUCACUCAGCAGCUCUGACAUCCACCCCAGAGGAACACAUCAACCUCCUACUGACUGCAAGUGAAUGAGGAAGAAUGAAUCAUACUCUUCUAUCCAUCUGCAGAAUUCAAGGAAUGUCCAGAACUUCUAUAAAAUCUGCAGAUUCCCUUUGCUGCAUGGAACAUAAAUACCCCAAAGACAAAUUGAGUUACUCCUUGCUGUAUUGCAAGAAUCCCUGCAGAUGGUUAUAAUGAUGAAUGAAUCACAGUU